rnacentral:rRNA from 1 species
AACGAACGCUGGCGGCAGGCUUAACACAUGCAAGUCGAACGCCCCGCAAGGGGAGUGGCAGACGGGUGAGUAACGCGUGGGAAUCUACCCAUCUCUGCGGAAUAGCUCCGGGAAACUGGAAUUAAUACCGCAUACGCCCUACGGGGGAAAGAUUAUCGGGGAUGGAUGAGCCCGCGUUGGAUUAGCUAGUUUGUGGGGUAAAGGCCUACCAAGGCGACGAUCCAUAGCUGGUCUGAGAGGAUGAUCAGCCACAUUGGGACUGAGACACGGCCCAAACUCCUACGGGAGGCAGCAGUGGGGAAUAUUGGACAAUGGGCGCAAGCCUGAUCCAGCCAUGCCGCGUGAGUGAUGAGGGCCUUAGGGUUGUAAAGCUCUUUCACCGGUGAAGAUAAUGACGGUAACCGGAGAAGAAGCCCCGGCUAACUUCGUGCCAGCCGCCGCGGUAA